GACGAACGCUGGCGGCGUGCCUAAUACAUGCAAGUAGAACGCUGAAGGAGGAGCUUGCUCUUCUGGAUGAGUUGCGAACGGGUGAGUAACGCGUAGGUAACCUGCCUGGUAGCGGGGGAUAACUAUUGGAAACGAUAGCUAAUACCGCAUAAGAGUAGAUGUUGCAUGACAUUUACUUAAAAGGUGCAAUUGCAUCACUACCAGAUGGACCUGCGUUGUAUUAGCUAGUUGGUGGGGUAACGGCUUACCAAGGCGACGAUACAUAGCCGACCUGAGAGGGUGAUAGGCCACACUGGGACUGAGACACGGCCCAGACUCCUACGGGAGGCAGCAGUAGGGAAUCUUCGGCAAUGGACGGAAGUCUGACCGAGCAACGCCGCGUGAGUGAAGAAGGGUUUCGGAUCGUAAAGCUCUGUUGUAAGAGAAGAACGAGUGUGAGAGUGGAAAGUUCACACUGUGACGGUAUCUUACCAGAAAGGGACGGCUAACUACGUG
rnacentral:rRNA from 1 species